AUUCCAGCUCCAAUAGCGUAUAUUAAAGUUGUUGCGGUUAAAAAGCUCGUAGUUGGAUUUCUGCUGAGGACGACUGGUCCGCCCCCUGGGUGAGCAUCUGGUUCGGCCUGGGCAUCUUCUUGGGGAACGUAUCUGCACUUGAUUGUGUGGUGCGGUAUCCAGGACUUUUACUUUGAGGAAAUUAGAGUGUUUCAAGCAGGCCCGCGCCUUGAAUACAUUAGCAUGGAAUAAUAAGAUAGGACCUCGGUUCUAUUUUGUUGGUUUCUAGAGCUGAGGUAAUGAUUAAUAGGGAUAGUUUGGGGCGUUUAUAUUCCGUUGUCAGAGGUGAAAUUCUUGGAUUUACGGAAGAUAAACUACUGCGAAAGCAUUCGCCAAGGAUGUUUUCAUUA
rnacentral:rRNA from 1 species